rnacentral:pre_miRNA from 1 species
CAGGCUUGCAUUUCAAGUAAGUCACGUGACUCACUUGAAACCCAGGACCU